ensembl:snoRNA SNORD115 Small nucleolar RNA SNORD115
GCAUCUGUGCAGAGCACCUCAUACUGUCUUGAACAGAGAUGAUGUAUUAAAACUCAUGUUCAUUGAACUCUGUUGCCCUGAUUCCCAGUUAAGUGC